rnacentral:rRNA from 1 species
AUUGAACGCUGGCGGCAGGCCUAACACAUGCAAGUCGAGCGGAUGAAGGGAGCUUGCUCCUGGAUUCAGCGGCGGACGGGUGAGUAAUGCCUAGGAAUCUGCCUGGUAGUGGGGGAUAACGUCCGGAAACGGGCGCUAAUACCGCAUACGUCCUGAGGGAGAAAGUGGGGGAUCUUCGGACCUCACGCUAUCAGAUGAGCCUAGGUCGGAUUAGCUAGUUGGUGGGGUAAAGGCCUACCAAGGCGACGAUCCGUAACUGGUCUGAGAGGAUGAUCAGUCACACUGGAACUGAGACACGGUCCAGACUCCUACGGGAGGCAGCAGUGGGGAAUAUUGGACAAUGGGCGAAAGCCUGAUCCAGCCAUGCCGCGUGUGUGAAGAAGGUCUUCGGAUUGUAAAGCACUUUUAUUGGGGAAGAAGGGCAGUAAGUUAAUACCUUGCUGUUUUGACGUUACCAACAGAAUAAGCACCGGCUAACUUCGUG